UGUGUGCUCAGAGGGGGCAAUC
rnacentral:miRNA from 1 species